rnacentral:rRNA from 1 species
AUUGAACGCUGGCGGCAGGCCUAACACCUGCAAGUCGAGCGAGAGGCGGACGGGUGAGUAAUGUAUGGGGGCUGCCAGAUAGAGGGGGAUCACUACUGGAAACGGUAGAUAAUACCGCAUACUAUCGGUGAACCCAUAGGGGAUUAGCUAGUAGGUGAGGUAAUGGCUCAACUAGGCGACGAUCCCUAGCUGGUCUGAGAGUAUGAGACGCCACACUGGGACUGCGACACGGCCCAGACUCCUACGGAGGCAGCAGUGGGGAAUAUUGCACAAUUGGCGCAAGCCUGAUGCAGCCAUGCCGCGUGUAUGAUGAAGGCCUUCGGGUUGUAAAGUACUUUUGGCAGAGAAGCGGUAUCUGCAGAAUAAGCACCGGCUAACUACGUGCCAGCAGCCGCGGUAAUAC